GUGGGGAAUUUUGGACAAUGGGCGCAAGCCUGAUCCAGCAAUGCCGCGUGCAGGAAGAAGGCCUUCGGGUUGUAAACUGCUUUUGUACGGAACGAAACGGUCCGGGUUAAUACCCUGGGCUAAUGACGGUACCGUAAGAAUAAGCACCGGCUAACUACGUGCCAGCAGCCGCGGUAAUACGUAGGGUGCAAGCGUUAAUCGGAAUUACUGGGCGUAAAGCGUGCGCAGGCGGUUUUGUAAGACAGGCGUGAAAUCCCCGGGCUCAACCUGGGAAUUGCGCUUGUGACUGCAAGGCUGGAGUGCGGCAGAGGGGGAUGGAAUUCCGCGUGUAGCAGUGAAAUGCGUAGAUAUGCGGAGGAACACCGAUGGCGAAGGCAAUCCCCUGGGCCAGCACUGACGCUCAUGCACGAAAGCGUGGGGAGCAAACAGGAUUAGAUACCCGAGUAGUCC
rnacentral:rRNA from 1 species